UACGAAGGGGGCUAGCGUUGUUCGGAAUUACUGGGCGUAAAGGGUCUGUAGGCGGCCCGCUAAGUCGAACGUGAAAUCCCCGAGCUCAACUCGGGAACUGCGUCCGAUACUGGUGGGCUUGAAUCCGGGAGAGGGAUGCGGAAUUCCAGGUGUAGCGGUGAAAUGCGUAGAUAUCUGGAGGAACACCGGUGGCGAAGGCGGCAUCCUGGACCGGCAUUGACGCUGAGGCGCGAAAGCUAGGGGAGCAAACGGGG
rnacentral:rRNA from 1 species